AUUCCGUGAUGAGGGCACUUCUGUAAUAAUUCUUUGUACCUUGCCCAUGCCUCAUACAAGGAUUCAUCAUCCAUUUUCUGGAAAACAGUGAUCUCGUUCCUCAACUU
rnacentral:snoRNA from 1 species